CCUCAAAUCAGGUAGGACUACCCGCUGAACUUAAGCAUAUCAAUAAGCGGAGGAAAAGAAACUAACAAGGAUUCCCCUAGUAACUGCGAGUGAAGAGGGAAGAGCUCAAAUUUGAAAUCUGGCGGUUCUUGCAGCCGUCCGAGUUGUAGUUUAGAGAAGUGCUAUCCGCGCUGACCUGUGCACAAGUUUCUUGGAAAAGAACAUCAUAGAGGGUGACAAUCCCGUCUUUGGCACAGACCAUCAGGGCUUUUGUGAUGCGCUCUCGACGAGUCGAGUUGUUUGGGAAUGCAGCUCUAAAUGGGUGGUAAAUUCCAUCUAAAGCUAAAUAUUGGCGAGAGACCGAUAGCGAACAAGUACCGUGAGGGAAAGAUGAAAAGAACUUUGAAAAGAGAGUUAAACAGUACGUGAAAUUGUUGAAAGGGAAACGCUUGAAGUCAGUCGCGUCUGCCAGGGAUCAAGUCGACUUUUGUCGGCCGUAUUUUCUGGUUGAUGGGUCAGCAUCAAUUUUGACCAUUGGACAAAGACCUUGGGAACGUGGCAUCUUCUGAUGUGUUAUAGCCCAGGGAUCACAUACAGUGGUUGGGACUGAGGAACUCAGCACGCCGCAAGGCCGGG
rnacentral:rRNA from 1 species